UACAGAGGUCUCAAGCGUUGUUCGGAUUUACUGGGCGUAAAGGGUGUGUAGGCGGUUGGGUAAGUCUGAAGUGAAAUCUCUAAGCUUAACUUAGAAAAUGCUUCGGAUACUAUCCGGCUAGAGGAUUGGAGAGGAGGUUGGAAUUCUCGGUGUAGCAGUGAAAUGCGUAGAUAUCGAGAGGAACAUCAGUGGCGAAGGCGAAUCUCUGGACGAAUCCUGACGCUGAGGCACGAAAGCUAGGGUAGCAAACGGG
rnacentral:rRNA from 1 species